rnacentral:lncRNA from 1 species
CAGGUGGCCAUCUUGGGGCUUUUUGUUCAACAUGUGCCUUCUGGUGUCACAAUUCUGUGUCAUCUGUGGGAUUCUGGGACCAUGCCUAUGUCACACAGUGUUCUGAGGGAGGCAGCAGAGGUGACCGCAAGCCGUCACUGAGUACCGGGCUGGCCUGGGUCUGUGGCCUGGGUCGCAGGCAAGCACACCUGGCCUAGCAGUCUGCCCUCACCUUCAUGCUGGGAUCCCCUUGUCCAGGCUGUCCUCCAUUCUCCAUCUUCCUGCCUCAGCCUCUGCAAGCUCCCCGUCCACCCACAAUUACCCUGCAUGUGCUGAUAUGCUUGCUGUGGGUUCAGAUGUCACCUCUCAGGUCUCUGGCUCCAAAGGGGAGCGAGUCCACAUUUCUGUUGCCAAGAGCCCUGCAUCAGGAUCCCAGGCACCCUUGAAAAUGUCCUGGCCACUGAGUUCUCCAUCUAUCCAGCCUCAGCUAUUACCUCACUCAGAAGAGAACCCUGGGCACCUGCUUUCCACUGUGCUGACCCGAGUCCCACCCUCCCAGACCCAGCCUCUGUGGUGACAGAGCCUAAUUUCUAAGACUAAGGCCCUGGUGCAGUGCUGCUAGACAGCAGGUGCUCAAUACAUCUUUUUUUUUUCUUUUUAUUGAGUUUAUUGGUACAUUCUAGGUAUACAGUACAGUUACAUUCAUUACUGGGAUCUUGUACCUUUACAUGACAGGUCUUGGUUCUCAUUUUUUCCCGUUGUCCCUGCCCUCCUCAAUACAUCUUUAACCAGUGGAUGAAUGAAAAUACACUCCUGCUUUUUUUGUUCAUUUGUUUUUUGAGACAGGGUUUCACUAUGUACCCCAGGUUGGCCUCAAACUCUGCUAUCCUACCUCAGCC